rfam:Canis lupus familiaris chromosome 12, whole genome shotgun sequence.
GUGCUUGCUUCAGCAACACAUAUACUAAAAUUGGAACAAUACAGAGAUUAGCAUGGCCCCUGCACAAGAAUGACAUGCAAAUUUGUAAAGCAUUCCAUACUUUA